rnacentral:rRNA from 1 species
GACAGAGGGGGCAAGCGUUGCUCGGAAUUACUGGGCGUAAAGGGCGCGUAGGCGGGAUGGCAAGUCGGUCGUGAAAUCCCUCGGCUCAACCGAGGAACGUCGAUCGAUACUGCUGUUCUUGAGGAUUGCAGAGGAGACUGGAAUUCCCGGUGUAGCGGUGGAAAUGUGUAGAGAUCGGGAGGAACGACCGGUGGCGAAGGCGGGUCUCUGGGCAAUUCCUGACGCUGAGGCGCGAAAGCGUGGGGAGCAAACGGG